UACGGAGGGGGCUAGCGUUGUUCGGAAUUACUGGGCGUAAAGCGCACGUAGGCGGCUUUGUAAGUUAGAGGUGAAAGCCCAGGGCUUAACCCUGGAAUUGCCUUUAAGACUGCAUCGCUAGAAUCGUGGAGAGGUGAGUGGAAUUCCGAGUGUAGAGGUGAAAUUCGUAGAUAUUCGGAAGAACACCAGUGGCGAAGGCGACACACUGGGCCAUUACUGACGCUGAGGCGCGAAAGCGUGGGGAGCAAACAGG
rnacentral:rRNA from 1 species